AAUGAACGUUGGCGGCGUGGAUUAGGCAUGCAAGUCGGACGAGAAGUUUCCUUCGGGAGACGGAAAGUGGCAAACGGGGUAGUAAGGCGUAGGUGACGUACCCUCAGGUCCGGGAUAGCCACGGGAAACCGUGAUUAAUACCGGAUGACCUCUUCGAAUAUGGUGUUUGGAGAGCAAAGGUGUGAUUCCGCCCGAGGAGCGGCUUACGUGAUAUUAGGUUGUUGGUGAGGUAACGGCUCACCAAGCCUUAGAUGUCUAGGGGGUGUGAGAGCAUGGCCCCCACCACUGGGACUGAGACACUGCCCAGACACCUACGGGUGGCUGCAGUCGAGAAUCUUCGGCAAUGGACGCAAGUCUGACCGAGCGACGCCGCGUGCGGGAUGAAGGCCCUUGGGUUGUAAACCGCUGUCAGAGGGGAUGAAAUGCGAGAGGGCUAUCCCUUUCGUUGACAGA
rnacentral:rRNA from 1 species